AUACGUAGGUGACAAGCGUUAUCCGGAUUUACUGGGCGUAAAGGGCGUGUAGGCGGUCUUGCAAGUCAGAAGUGAAAUUCCUGAGCUCAACUCGGGCGCUGCUUCUGAAACUGCAGGGCUUGAGUGCUGGAGGGGAUAGCGGAAUUCCUAGUGGAGCGGUAAAAUGCGCAGAUAUUAGGAAGAACACCGGUGGCGAAGGCGGCCUACUGGACCAUACCUGACGCUGGGGCGCGAAAGCGUGGGUAGCAAACGGGAUUAGAUACCCUGGUAGUCCACGCUGUAAACGAUGAAUACUUGGUGUAGGGGGUAUAGACUUCCUCGAUGCCGCAGGUAACACAAUAAGUAUUCCGCCUGGGGAGUACGGCCGCAAGGUUGAAACUCAAAUGAAUUGACGGGG
rnacentral:rRNA from 1 species